rnacentral:rRNA from 1 species
GACGAACGCUGGCGGCGUGCCUAAUACAUGCAAGUCGAACGCAGUGGGGACGGGUGAGUAACACGUGGGUAACCUCCCAUCAGAGGGGAUAACACUUGGAAACAGGUGCUAAACCGAUACUGAUGGAUGGACCCGCGGUGGAUUAGCUAGUUGGUGAGGUAACGGCUCACCAAGGCCACGCUGCAUAGCCGGCGUGCGAGGGUGAUCGGCCACCCGGGGACUGAGACACUGCCCAGACGCCGACGGUAGGCAGCAGUAGGGAAUCUUGGGCAAUGGACCAAAGUCUGACCGAGCAACGCCGCGUGAGUGAAGAAGGUUUUCGGAUCGUAAAGCUCUGUUGUUAGAGAAGCGGUAUCUAACCAGAAAGCCACGGCUAACUACGUGCCAGCAGCCGCGGUAAUAC